rnacentral:rRNA from 1 species
AGUGGCGGACGGGUGAGUAACACGUGAGCAACCGAUCCCAGAGAGGGGGACAACUUUGAGAAAUCAAGGCUAAUACCGCGUAAGACCACGCUAUCGGAUGGUAGAGGGGUAAAAGGAGAAAUCCGCUUUGGGGAGGGCUCGCGACUGAUUAGGCAGUUGGUGAGGUAACGGCCCACCAAACCGACGAUCAGUAGCCGUGCUGAGAGGCAGGCCGGCCACACUGGAACUGAGAGACGGUCCAGACUCCUACGGGAGGCAGCAGUGGGGAAUCUUGGGCAAUGGGGGAAACCCUGACCCAGCGACGCCGCGUGAAGGAAGAAGGUCUUCGGAUUGUAAACUUCUGUGACAGGGGAAGAAAAGAAUGACGGUACCCUGAGAGGAAGCCCCGGCUAACUACGUGCCAGCAGCCGCGGUAAUACGUAGGGGGCGAGCGUUAUCCGGAAUUAUUGGGCGUAAAGAGUACGUAGGUGGUUUCCUAAGCACGGGGUUUAAGGCAAUGGCUUAACUAUUGUUCGCCCCAUGAACUGGGUAACUUGAGUGCUGGAGGGGAAAGCGGAAUUCCUAGUGUAGCGGUGAAAUGCGUAGAUAUUAGGAGGAACACCAGUGGCGAAGGCGGCUUUCUGGACAGUAACUGACACUGAGGUACGAAAGUGUGGGGAGCAAACAGGAUUAGAUACCCUGGUAGUCCACACUGUAAACGAUGAGCACUAGGUGUCGGCCUAGCAAUAGGUCGGUGCCGCAGUUAACGCAUUAAGUGCUCCGCCUGGGGAGUACGUACGCAAGUAUGAAACUCAAAGGAAUUGACGGGGACCCGCACAAGCAGCGGAGCAUGUGGUUUAAUUCGAAGCAACGCGAAGAACCUUACCAGGACUUGACAUCCCUCUGAACGGCUUGAUAACGAUAGCUUUUCUUCGGACAGAGGUGACAGGUGGUGCAUGGUUGUCGUCAGCUCGUGUCGUGAGAUGUUGGGUUAAGUCCCGCAACGAGCGCAACCCUUGUCUUUAGUUGCCAGCAUUUGGUUGGGCACUCUAAAGAGACUGCCGGGGAUAACUCGGAGGAAGGUGGGGAUGACGUCAAAUCAUCAUGCCCCUUAUGUUCUGGGCUACACACGUGCUACAAUGGUCGGUACAAAGAGUUGCGAGACCGUGAGGUGGAGCCAAUCUCAAAAGCCGAUCCCAGUUCGGAUUGCAGGCUGCAACUCGCCUGCAUGAAGUCGGAGUUGCUAGUAAUCGCAGAUCAAAAUGCUGCGGUGAAUGCGUUCCCGGGUCUUGCACACACCGCCCGUCA